CUCCCUCGAGGAAGGAUUUAUAGGGUAAAGGACUUUGGGAGCAUCAAGAAUUCUUUCUGCCCAACCAAGCGAGAUGCAGCAAACUGCGGAAAGGUGAGAUUCCGGGAGAGGAAGCGCCCAUCUCUGGACUCCCAUCCAAUCCCCUACCCUGCCCUUUUCCCCUCCCCAGCCAACAGGAGAACCCCUGAACUGUGUAAAUAAAAUUCUGCUUUUCUAUUCUGAAAAAGGACUUAUCUAGGACUAUGGCAAAUAAUCUCUAACGAUUUACCUAGAAGUUAAGGAAUUGAGGGUAUUCUGUUCUGGCAACAGAAAAUUUACCCUUCUGAUGAAAUCCAAGCUAUUCAGCGUUCUGCAGAAGCCUCUCCCCCUCACAGAUCUCUGCGGCUGCUGAUUGGUAAAGGAAGCUUGAGGAGGGAACUGCAGCCCUAGGAAACUGGGUGAAUGGGGUUCCAAGGGCCCCUGGGCUGGGAGGAGCUGGCUAUGAAUGUACAUGAAGACAUAAUAGCUCAACAUCUAGGAUUUUGCAUGCAGAGCGGAUCCUGCCUUGUCACUGACUUCAUCUGGGAUUGUUUUAUCCAUUCACUGGGGCUUAGAGAACAAAGAGCCCAGUUCACAGGCACAGACUUGAGGGUGCUCAGCAACAGCCCAGAUUUAGGGGACAUUUGAGGGACUCUUGGGGGCUGCAGCCAAAAACUGUCUCUCUCCUGGCUAUACCCGCUUAACUUCAGUUCCUUUUCCUGUCAAUACGUCCCUGCCCGCCGCCUCUCGGUGUUACCUCCAUAAUGUCUUGUGUGUGUUAUGUGUGUCGACCUGUGUAGUAGUGUGUGAGCCCUGAGGGGCAGGGCUUGUGGCUCUGGUGUUAGGUUCAGGGGGCUUCAGACCCUUCUGUGAGCCCCAGGCUCUCAUGGCGCUGUCCCCUUUCCUCUCCUCUUUUCCUCCACAACCAGGGCAUGGAGCAUGUGGCUGUCCUGAGGUUCCUAACUGAUGCGCCUCCCUCCCACCUCCUCAAGUGGUGACUUUGUGUGCCCUUCCUCCUCCUCUGUGUAUUCCUUCUCGAUGCUUUCCUUGGUGUUAACCUGAAUAAAGAGGCGUCAUCUCCCCUCCUUGCUGACUGGUACUAAGGCAAUGUCAGGGUGGGGCUUCUGGACCCACUGCAUGGACAAAGACUUAGUGGGAACUAUAGGAACCAGGCUUUCCCUCCUCUAUUCUCGCCUCGGGUUCCAAGGAGUUGACUGUCCUUACCCUGGUCGGUAUAUGCAUUGCCAACUCUACCUGCUUUCCCUUCCAUCCUGGACCUUGACUUCAAGCUGGACUGAAGAGGGAGAGGGUAUGUUUUGAGACUCCCAAACUAACAAGGAUUUUUAGUAGCUAGACUCCAGACAUUCAGUUGACUUCUCUUCAGUGAAGCACUUGGCCUCUGGGAUAUGAUUUCCAAAUCUGAGACCUGCAAUGGUAGGCAGACAUCUGUUCCAUGGGAGGGCUAGGGAGGGGGAUUGCUCAUGAGGGAUUGCCCUGGGAUCUCUGGCAAUAGUGACACAUCACAAAGGAAACACAAUAACUGCCUCAGGCCUCUAGUGGAGAAUGCCGGUAAGGUGUUCCCCGGAGCUUAUAGUGACAUCAACUCUAGUCUGCUCCCUUGGGCAUUGGAGAUUUCCGAAGACUUCCCUGAACAAAAUUUGGGAGAAGAAUGAGCUGGGGUGCCGCACGUGCGUGCGUGCGUGCGUGCGUGCGUGUGUGUGUGUGUGUGUGUGUGUGUGUGUUCUUCCUGCUGCUUGCUACAGAGAGAUGGAAAGAGCUCUGGGACUGAAUCUCAGUUCCAGCAGUAAAUGACUGCUUGAGACUUGGUCUCUUGCUUGAGACUUAGUUUCUGCUUGUGUAAAAUGGGGACAAAAUUUGUUGGGGAGAAAAAUAUCUAAGCCCCUCGGGAAGUUUUGUGCAAAUGUUAGUUUUUGUAUAGUUCUCUCAGGAUAGGGGUGAUGAUGGCGACUGUCUCCUCUGGCAAAACACAAUUACCUAGGGAAGUUUCUAGAAGCUUUCUUCUAACAUAAUUCUUCCUGAUCUAAAGAACUCUUAUCUUUCAGGAUAGUCAAGUAAAGGGGAUGAUGAGAUUCCCAAGUUGACAUGUCUUUUCCUCACAAAUUCCAUACAGUUAAGGGUCAAAAGAUUUUAACGCCAGCCCUGUACACAUAGGAUGACCAGAGGAAGCCUUGAUUUGUGCAGUGGUGGGUGGCUGGGGAAUGUGUGCUGGAGCCCUGGAGAAGGCAGCUAAAAUGUAUUAGUGGGAAAGUGUCCCUGAGGGCUGGAGAUAGUUUCUUGUUACAGUUCUGGCAUUCAGCAUCAAUAACAGCCAUGAUAACUCUUAUUGAACACUUACUAUGUGCCAGACACUGUGCCCAAUUUUAUCUCUCAACAACCCUAGGAAGUAGGCUUUAUUAUUAUUUUCACUUAGUUCCAGAAACAGACUCCAAGACUGGGUCAAGGUCACACAACUAGUACUUGGCAGAAGCAGGACUUAAACCUAGAUCUUCUGACUUAAAGAACCCUAGGUGGGAACUACUCCACCAACUGCUAUAUUAUUUCAUCUUUGGAAAAGGAAAUCCCUUAUUUCCCCAAUCAAGAGUCUAAGAGUCCUGAAAAGGAAAGAAUGUUAGUUUUAUUCACCUGUCACCUUUGAACAAGUAAUUGCAGUUCAGGUUUUGGUUAGUGACCCUUCUCAGAGUCAAGUGAGUGAUAAUACAAUAAUGGCACUGAGAAGAUGGCCUUCUGGGCUUGCUCCUUGAGAGGAAGAAGCUGAUGUUCCCAGAUACUCCCUGACACAGCUCCGUUCUUGUGCCUCUUUCCUGUAGCUCAGAUUCUGCAGAAUAUGACAUGAAUCUCAAGGCAGCUUACUGCUUUUGCACCUGUAGAAAGGUCUGGUUGAGCCCUUUAACCCCUGACUCCAAUUCAGUUCCUCCUCCUCUGCCAACUGUCCUAAAUGUGUCGUCAGUCUCUUAGCCCAGGGCUCCUAAAGGUUCUCAAGCUAUUCUUCCCAAGUCAGAUAGAUAAAAAUCUCCCCAGAAAAAGCGAUACUCAGUUUUCUUCAGUCUUCAGUUUUCUUCAGUCACCUGCACCAGCAUCUCAGAGGGAUACAGCUCGGGGUUUUUCUCCCACCUCCUCCUUUCUCCAGAUUUCUCACUCUUCUCUGGCAUUUCUGCUUUGCAAUGCUUCUGUUGAGUGAGUUUCAGAUGAGAUUUCUAACCUACAACUCAUCAAUAGAGUCACUAUUGAAUUUCCGGGACCACAGCCCCUUGAAAUUGAAUGCAAAAUCAUGUGUAUAUAUAUAUAUAUUCUCUAGAGAGAAGAGCCAUUGUUUCAACUUAAUUCUUAAAGGUAAGAAUUACAUAAAAAGGUAAGAAUCACUGAGCUAAAAGACUUUUUAAUUUGAAAAAUACCAAAGAAGAAAUUACCCUAUCUGAACUGAUACAUCCUUGUCUCCUGGGGCCUCCAGAGUAUUUCCUACAGUGAAUUGAAAUCUUUGCAUAAAUCUGAUUACUCACCACUAAUUCAGCAAAUUCAAAUUAUAUUGACACCCAUUAGAAUGUGCUAAGAAUCUUGUCUCCCAUUGUCUCUAAGCCUUCUAGUACUUGGGAGUUUGUCAGAGCACUGCUGAUGUGUGGCAGUGAGGUGAUGGUCCUCUCCAAACUUCGUGCUGCACUUUACGUCGGCCCAAUAAAGCUGCAUAUAAGUCAUCACAACUCUCUCAGGUUCUGGCACUUCUGUCUCUCAUCAGGCAAUCUCUCAGGGUUAGCUCUUAAUCUCAAAAUGAAAACAUACAACUUCUAGAAAUAAGCUACAACUUUACUCUGGCACAGCUAAAUAAAGUCUGUUCUAGAGAAAUAGUUAUUUCUCUUAGAGAUGCAAACUGGCCUCCAACAUAAAUAUGUCCUUUUAUAUGGCCUCAGUAUCACCACAGAGUAUAGUUUUUGCUUGAAAUGUAAAUGAAAUUGCUCAUCUAGAAGUAUUCCCAGAACUAAGAAACAGGUCUUUCCCAGAUAUACUUAAGUUUAGUACUUGGCGCAAGAUAGAAAACUGCUUGCAUCUUUGAAAAGGCAGGUUUUCCUAAGCAUCUCUCCCCAUAUAUAUACCUAGGAAUAGAAAUUUAGCCAGGAUACUCUGCUACAGUAAGAAAUGACAUAGAAAUACAAAAGAAAUACUUUAAAAAAUUGAGGUAUUAAUUGAUUUACAGUACAAAAAGAAUAUUAUUGAAUCUUUCAUCUCAGCUACCAUCCUCCCUGUUCUCCUCUCCCAACUCCACACCUCUAGAUUGUUCCCAGAAGGUGAAUUCCCACGAAGCAACACAGCCUUUCUGCGUGGGAGCACUGUGCUUAUAGAAGGAAGGCCUGCUCUGUAAAUAAUGCUGUAAUGGUGCCACCUGGUGAGGAACAGGGACAUUACAAAGGGACCCUCAAAGUAAAUUUAUGUUUUUCAGUCUAGCAAGCACUACCAAAUGCUUACUAACAGCCUGGCCAAAUAGUGGGUGGCAAGGACAGAAGGGGAAACUGAAUAAAUAGAAUGUAUUUGAAUGAUAUAAAACCCAACUGCAAUAAGCUCCUAAAUGGUCUCCCCUGGUUGCUCAUAUACCUAUAAUCCUGAAGACUGAUUUUCCUAAACUACAGCUCUGAACAUUCAUUCUUUUCAGAAAUCUGCACCAUGUGCCAUUAUUUCCUGAAUUAAGUAUAAAAUACAGUGGUUGGGUGGAGUUAAGUUCCGCCCAAUAAGCACCUGGCAUACUUCUUUUACCUAUACAUUUCCUUUCCCAGGUACAUUUUCUAGCUAUUCUACUAUACCAUCCGUUGGAAGCCCAUAAUGCAGUCAACUAGAAAUGAUUCCCAAGGGUAUCCCUGCUCUUUUAAUCUCAAUGUGUCCCUCUGGCCCUUGAUUCCAUUCUCUUAGUCAUUCUUCCCAAAUGCAGUCAGAGCCCAGUUUUUCCUUCAGAAAAGGCACUUCUGCAGUCUUGAUCACCUGCACCAGCUUCUUCUGGGGUGCCCUGCAAGGCUUAUUAAAUAGUAUUUCAUCUUACUCUGCUACAAGUGGUUGCAGUAUGUUAAGGGAAGUUUAAGUAGCUUACAUUCUGCUUUGAGAAUAAAAAGAGAAAGUCAAAAUUCCUUUUAGAGUAGGUGAAUAAUUCUUAUAAGGAUGAUGGAAAAAGACAUCCAAGAAGGGAAACACGACUGACUCAAUCUUCUAGCACGUAUUUAUCAACUGGUAGGCUCUGGGGUAGACUCCAGGAAGGGAUGGUCUCUGCCCUUAUGUUGCUCACAGUCUGAUGAUGAGAGAAUGUUACGUUCUUGAAUUGGGACAGAAGAUUGAAGGGAAAACUCAUUUCCUGUGAGCACUGUCAACUGAAUUAAGAGCACUUCCAUUUGAAAAUGGGAAUGGGGUGUGUGUGUGUGUGUGUGUGUGUGUGUUGGGGAUGUGAUUGUGUGGUUUGUCAGUGGUGGGGAUGACAAGACAAAAUGGAGAAGACAAAAGUGAAAAAAAUGCUGAGAAAAUUCACAAAAUUUUAUGCCACAGGGGAUAUCAAAUAUAAUUACUGGAAGAAAAGCAGUAGGAGAGGUGGCAUCCCAUAAUUCCCUGGAAAAAGUAAGUAGAAAAGGGUUGGGGAAAAAAAGCACUUCCGGUCUCUACACUAAUCCACAAAGUGCAGGUAAGAUAAAAAUAGAACUUGAGUUUUUACACAAUGAGGAAAAUAAAAUGUGACAAAUGUAAAGAAAUUUGGGGAGUUCUCAUUGUGGCUCAGCAAUAGUGAACCAUAGUAUCCAUGAGGAUGUGGGUUCAAUCCCUGGCCCUGCUCAGUGGGUUAAGGAUCCGACGUGGUUGUGAGCUGCAGUGUAGAUAUCAAACUCGGCUCGGAUCUGGCAUUGCUGUGGCUGUGGCGUAGACUGUCAGCUGCAGCUCUGAUUCGACUUCUAGCCUGAGAACUUCCAUAUGCUGCUGGUGUGG
rnacentral:lncRNA from 1 species